ACACGAACCGUCCAAACGUUAUUCGGAAUCACUGGGCUUAAAGGGUGCGUAGGCGGCGUUUUAAGUAAGGUGUGAAAUCCCACGUCUCAACCGUGGAACUGCGCUUUAUACUGGAAUGCUUGAGUAAGAUAGAGGUAAGCGGAACUGAUAGUGGAGCGGUGAAAUGCGUUGAUAUUAUCAGGAACACCAGUGGCGAAGGCGGCUUACUGGGUCUUAACUGACGCUGAUGCACGAAAGCUAGGGUAGCGAAGAGGAUUAGAUACCCUCGUAGUCCUAGCCGUAAACACUGAGCGCUGGGUGGGAGGAAGCUCCAUUUUUUCCUGCCGUAGAGAAAUUGUUAAGCACUCCGCCUGGGGAGUAUGGUCGCAAGGCUGAAACUCAAAUGAAUUGACGGGG
rnacentral:rRNA from 1 species